GGAGAGAUGGCUCAGUGGGUAAGAGCACUGGCUGCUCUUCUGGAGGACCUGGGUUCAAUUCCUAGCAUCUACA
rfam:Rattus norvegicus chromosome 6, whole genome shotgun sequence.